GCUCACGUAGCUUAACCUUAAAGCAUAACACUGAAGAUGUUAAGAUAAGCCCUAGAAAGCUUCGCGGGCA
rnacentral:tRNA from 1 species